rnacentral:rRNA from 1 species
AUUGCCUACGGGACGCAGCAGUGGGGAAUAUUGCACAAUGGGGGAAACCCUGAUGCAGCGACGCCGGGUGAGAGAUGAAGUAUUUCGGUAUGUAAAGCUCUAUCAGCAGGGAAGAAAAUGACGGUACCUGACUAAGAAGCCCCGGCUAACUACGUGCCAGCAGCCGCGGUAAUACGCAGGGGGCAAGCGUUAUCCGGAUUUACUGGGUGUAAAGGGAGCGGAGACGGUCCUGCAAGCCAGAUGUGAAAGCGCGGGGCUCAACCAC